UACAUAAACUAUGAGGUAUGGUAAGUACUAGCUAUGGUGGUAAGUAUGUGAUAUAGGUUACCUGUUUGGUUUUCCAGGCCAAAAGAACCCAGACAGUUCUCUGACCUAACUCUAAGACGUUUUGAUCUGGAAUGAAAUUGGAGGGAAAAAAGCCUCUAGAGAUGAGCUCUCAGGCUGCAGGGCUGAACCAUCUUACCCAAACAUACAGGGGAAUUUUAAGCUCCACCCCUAAAAUAAGAGCUAAUGGAACAGUCCACCCAAGAGCAACAAACCAGGAAAUAAGCAGGGGAGAGAAAAACUAAGUAAGACAUCACAGUCAAUGUGGACCAUAAUAUCAAAUAUUUUAAGUAGCAAAGUUUAACAUCAUUGCAAAGGAACUGGAGCAACUGAACAAAGACUAUCUUCAUUCCAAAGUACUUGAGAAUUCAAGCAGAGAAGUGUGGGAGUAAAAAAUAAUCCCGCUUCCUCUCGUCAUCAGCAUGCCACCACAGAAGUCUCUGAACCUUACUGAUCAAGUCUCUUCUACAGGACGGAGAGGAGGAACCAGGUGUAAAGCCUACCUCAAAACACCUCUGCUUUUGGAAUGCUUCACACUAGUCAGGGGGAGAAUUAUUUAUGAACAACGCACUCCAGUGAAGACUGAGAAGUGGCAGAUCAAAUUGCGCAAACUAUUAAAAGCAAUGAGCAAUGAGCACACCCCUUCCUCUCUCAAGGAAGAAGGGCAGCAGGCAAGAAAGAGUCAUCCCUGA
rnacentral:lncRNA from 11 species